GUAUCUGAAGCCUGACGAGGAUGAUAACCUCCGGGGGCAAGAGGUUCGACCCGAGCGAAGCGAGAGAACGUUGCGUCAGCAACGGCCCGCAGUGGCAAGUCAUCCUCUGUCACCGGCAG
rnacentral:sRNA from 1 species